UCUCAUGGAUUAGCAAAGAAUAUAGUUUCUUGAGAUGGAAUCUACUCUUGGUAAAGAUGCUGUGAA
rnacentral:pre_miRNA from 3 species